GUUUCCGAGCGAAGCGAUGAUGUAUUUAUAUCGGUUUUACUAUGUAUCUGUAUGGUAUCAUAACGUGCCUUUUUUUCUGUCUGCGAACGGCUUUCCUAUUAAUUAACUGGCCCCUGCUGGUCAAGUUUAAUGGCGGUUAGCGGUAGCAAACGUUGUGCGCGUCGAUACGGUCGUUUUUCGAUUUUCCUCGUAGUUUUUUUUUAAUAAACCAUAGGAAAAGGCAAAUUCACACGUUUCAAACAAUUCUAUCAGUUUCCGAAUUAUUUAUAAAGCCACAUUUGAAAUUUUCGAGUUUUAUUUCGGUUUUUUUUUUUUUUUUUACACGGACGAAAUUGUAUUAGCACACCGAAAAUGCUUGAAAAAUUAACACCAGGUUCAUCAUACGUUGUGAUUGUUAAUGUUAAAAACAAACAGAAAUUGAGCGCAAUAAGGAAAUUUGUUUUCACAAAUUCAAAUUUCGAUAAAAAUACCGGCAUUUUUAAAACACGUUCAAUUGAACUCGGUGCAAAAUCGUUUUAACGUUGAUUUAUUGUCGCGGUGUUGUAUAUACAUUUUAUUUUAUUAUUAACGUUUUACGAACGCUCAAGAAAUAACCGACAAUGUCGAGAGAUUUGUUUAAAUCCAUCAUUGACAAUUUAAAACGUUGAAUUCUAAUUAUGUUUUCGAACCGAAUAAUAAAUGCAAUGAAACCGCCGUCGAAUAUUGUAUACCUAUUAUAUGUUGUAUAUUAACACAUUAUGUUUUUGAAAAACCUUCAAACCGACGACGGUGUUGGAAUUUUCUCGCUACCCACUCGUAAUAACAGCGAGUACUUAAUGUUAUUACAACGAACUGAAUUUCAACACUUUUAAACCGACUUCGGCCAUCACUGUCGAACCGUUAACACAAAAUGAUGUAUUGUAAUUUCGUCCGGGAAGAAAACGAGACGUUAAUAAUAACAUUACUGUGGGAUUUCACACGAACAAUCUGCCGCGGUCCCCCGCGAUCGAAGUAUUCCUCGGUUUUCGAGCUUGCGUUUUCGGUCUCGGGGAAGGGGUAGGGCUCGAGUGAAUUUCGAAAUUCGUUUUUUA